rnacentral:SRP_RNA from 1 species
CCUGGAGGGUGUCACGCCCCUCUGUCACCUGAGUUGGGAGGCACUGUGUGCCUGGGACUGCCCCACACACCCUAGGCCUCCCUUGGCCUGSUUGCACCAUGGUGCCAUGCAGAGACUGCGCCCACUGAAAGACAGCUGCCCUCACUGGCACCGCCUGGCAACAUUGGCGGUGUCUUGGAGGCUAUGAUGCGGAGGGGACUGGGCAAGGCUGGCAACAGAGCAGCCAAAACCUCCCACAGCUGUCAGUUCAGGGAACACGCAGUUGAGUGGUGCUGCAGCAGGUUGGGCUGAGGGUGCAAGGUAGGACUGGGCAUACC